UGGAAGUAGCAUUUUGCUUGGAAGCAUCGGCAUGGCAUCCAUUUCUACCUUUUGAUCUUUACACCAACCCGUUUCCACCUACAUUCUUAGCUUUCAAAUUUCAAGCCUUGGUACCGGCGGCAGGGCUUGAUCUCUAUUUCAAUGGCGAAUUACAACCGGGAUUUUAAUCCCUUCUUGUUUCCUUCUACAUCAAUCGCUUAUUCUCCAGUUUCUUAUUCUUCUUCUUCACUAUCAUCGUCUCCUCCUCCGUCUCAAAGCAUAUCUUCUACUUUCCAAUCUUCAUCAAGUCUUCCCCUGUUACCUCCCCAAUAUUCUUCAAGUUCUGUCCAUCCUCCUGCUGGUGCUACUGCCACUGCCGUGCCUAUAUCUUGCACUGCCUCGGCCGUUGAUGGAGCGUUUGGAGCUACCAAUAUUGUCAAGUCCCCUCUGGAUUCUUCUCCAGGUGGAGAACCUGCUAUGGAUUUGCGUGAUUGGAGAGUUCACUUGCAGCCUGAUUCACGACGAAGAAUUGUCAGCAAGAUAGCAGAGACACUAAUGAGACACCUUCCAUUUUCUGGUGAAGGGGGACUUCAAGAAAUCAAGAAAAUUGCAGUGAGGUUUGAGGAAAAGGUUUAUGAUUCUGCCACAAGUGAGUCUGAUUAUCUUCGGAAAAUCAGUUUGAAGAUGCUUACAAUGGAGAAUAGGACUCAGGAUAAUGUGCCCAGCUCAGCGCCAUCUUACUCUAGUGUCUGUAGCAAUGAAGUCCAAGUUCAGGAGGAUGAUGGAGAACCUGCAGUAAAUAUGUGUGAUUGGAGAGCUCAUUUGCAGCUUGAUUCACGGCAGAGAAUUGUUAACAAGAUAGCAGAGACAUUAAAGAGGCACCUGCUAUUAUCUGAUGAAGAGGCACUGCAAGAAAUCAAGAAAAUUGCAGCAAGGUUUGAGGAAAAGAUUUAUGUUGACGCCACAAGCCAGAGUGAUUAUCUUCGGAAGAUAAGUUUGAAAAUGCUUACAAUGGAGAGCAAGGCCUCAAAAUAGUGUGCCAAUUAACAGAUUCAGGAGGUAAGAACAUGAAGAAGCAUUGGUAUUUUUCCUUUUACAUUUAAAUCCAAUCCAUUGCAGUGCUCUUUUGAACUUCAACGGUGGAUGGGUGGAUUGGUUUCAUGAGAAUAACAGUAUGGGCGGCAUGUCUCGCGAAAAAAAUCAUCCGAGAAUGGUUCAGGACUUGCUGCCAAUUUGAGCCAUCCUCAUGUUGCUAAUGCCGCAAGCUCUGCAAGGUGACUAUGUCUGCUGCAAAGUGCAAUAAGGUUUGCUGAUUUUCCCAUUGGAGAGCAGGAUAUUAUUACAGCUUUUCUUGUUUCAAUUUUUGGAAUAGAUUUCUUACGUAUUACAAAUGGAUUAUUGUUGGGGAUUGCUUUUUCUAUCAACUCUAUUUACUGCUUGAUCUGUUCAUAUGCAUAUCGUAUUCGCUGUAUAACAUGGAGGAGGUUCUAUGAUCCUUUAAAUAUAAAAUGAUCUUGUACUAUUUCACCA